GAUGAACGCUGGCGGCGUGCCUAACACAUGCAAGUCGAACGGAACUUUAACGGAUUGAGACUUCGGUUGAUUGAGGUUUAAGUUUAGUGGCGGACGGGUGAGUAACGCGUGAGUAACCUGCCUUUCACAGGGGGAUAACGUUUGGAAACGAACGCUAAUACCGCAUAACAUAGCGGGGUCGCAUGACUCUGCUAUCAAAGAUUUUAUCGGUGAAAGAUGGACUCGCGUCCGAUUAGGUAGUUGGUGAGGUAACGGCCACCAAGCCGACGAUCGGUAGCCGGACUGAGAGGUUGAACGGCCACAUUGGGACUGAGACACGGCCCAAAACUCCUACGGGAGGCAGCAGUGGGGAAUCUUCCGCAAUGGGCGCAAGCCUGACGGAGCAACGCCGCGUGAGUGAAGAAGGUUUUCGGAUCGUAAAGCUCUAUCAGCAAGGAGAAAAUGACGGUACUUAGACUAAGAAGCCCCGGCUAACUACGUG
rnacentral:rRNA from 1 species